AUAUCUACUGCAACGGUUUUCAAUAAAAACAUAUUCCAAUUGGCUUUCACUAUUUUCUUUUUACUUUUUUAUAUCCCCUCUCUUAUUUUUAUUCUCUUUUAAUUUUCUUUACCUUUCCAUUUUCUUACCCUAAUUGAGAGAAAAACCCUCAAAAAAAUUCCACCACUAUAUAUCGACAUCCCUGUUGCCGACAGUAACACUGUUGUAGUUCAUUCCAUGGCUCCUUUUUUGUUUAAUUGCAAAGAAUCCAGAUAUCGGUUGGUGGUCCUCUAAGUUUUAUAAAGCAAAUUCAGAGAAUCCAGAGCAGGGCUAUGCAAUCCAGCUACCAGGAUAACGGAGCUUCACAAUAUCAGCAUGUGCUCCAAAUAUCUAAUACUGCCACCUUAUGACAGAUAGUGUCACGGGACGUACGCUCAGCUAGUCAAUUGAUGGUGGAUUGAAUGAGCAAAGAAUGAAUAAAGCGGCGAAGGCAUUACUUAGAGUUAUGGGAUUGUUCUUGAAAUUAUUCGUGUAUUACAAUAUUUAGGAACCUUUUAUGUUGUAGUAUGCUUUUGAAUUGUACAAUGUUACAAAUUUAUUUUUAUACAAAGAAAUAAAAAACCGUUGCAAUAGCCUCCAUA